CAUGCAGGUUCUCCAUCAAGGACCUCCUGAAUCACGCCUUCUUUGCAGAGGACACAGGCGUGAGGGUCGAGCUCAACGAGGACGACGAUGGGAAGAAAGCAACGAUCGCUCUCAAGCUCUGGGUCGAGGAUCCCAAAAAGCUGAAGGGGAAAUACAAAGACACCGGCGCCAUCGAGUUUACCUUCGACCUGGUGAACGAGAUCCCAGAAGUUGUUGCUCAAGAAAUGGUGGAAUCUGGUUUUUUCCUGGAUAGUGACGUGAAGAUAGUUGGGAAGUCCAUCCGAGACCGCGUUGCUCUGAUCAAAUGGAGACGGGGGCGUACCGUUUCAUCAAAUGGAAACGGUGACGUCGCUGUGAAGAAGAUACAGCAGAACUUACUGCAGGUGCCCGGCGCCGGCGGAACACAGAUAUCCACGCUCGCCGCCACAGAUUACGAGGAUCAGGACGGCGAGCAGCAGACUCUGACCUGUACAGUGCCAGUGACGUCUGCCACAUCCGACGGUGGACUGGGCAACACGAUGCAGUUAGACGAACUGAACAAUCAGCAGAACGGCCCCUACCACUCACUUCCGGAGCCUAUUUCUACCGCGCAGAUAAUCUACAGUCCUCCUGCACAGUGCGACCCUCAGCUGCACCAGGGACCCUACCAGCCGCCCGCCGCUCAGACGACGCACGAAAACUACACACAAGCAGCUACACAGUUACAGCAGGGGGCGUACCAGCAGGCCGCGGGGCAGCUCCACCCCGGGGCCUACCAGCAGCCUGGAGCAGAGCCGCAGCAGGGGCCUUAUCAGUGUCAGACCACAGUCUCUGCUCCAGCGACACCGGGCCCUGCAGCGCACCAGAGCAGACAGGCGGCGCAGAGUUACCCGGCUGCAGCCCCGCCUCUCCAGACCCAGCUGACGGCCCAGCCCAGCCAGGAACAGUGCCAUCUCCAACCAGCUGCUUUCCUGCCCCAGCUGUUAUCUGCUGACCAGCCUGCAUCCCACCUGAGUCCUCCUGACACAUCUACCAGUUUCCCACAGUCAGUCUCCAGUGCUCCUCCCCAACUCCUGCCCCUGCAGAUCAC
rnacentral:lncRNA from 1 species